UACUGGUAUUUUAAGAUUUAGUUCUGCUUAAAAAUAGUUAAAUUGCAUCUGAGAUCUUUCAUUGAUGCUUUAUCACCUUAGAGAACUGGUUCCAUCU